ensembl:lncRNA
GAAGUCCAUUUGUGUCAGGACGCACCACUGUGAGAAUGUGUGGUGGUGCUCUAUUAUCAUUGCUUACUCCAUUAUAAGUAAGAGUCAUAAAGGGGUUACAUACGCCAAUGGAUUUCUGUGACUGUGGUAUAAGGACUUUUCCGAUCCACACUCUGUACGCGGUGUUGAGUGCUUGCCAUGUCUUGUAUCAUUGUGGCACCAAGUGGCAGUUAAAGGAAUGUUUUUUUUAUAGGGGAUCACCAUGGCACAUCUUAAGAGCUGUAGUACGAGUAUUUCUUUUCUGUCAUUGAGGAGUCCAGCCCAGAGUCACCAGAUCUAAAGGCUUUCCUUCUAGUGUGAGAGUGUAUGAUUCUUCAGGGAGUCCAAACCGCUUUAAGAGGUCUCUGACAUCAGACAGCAUCGGCUCCUUCCAGCAUGACAAGAAUAAAUGGCUGACACUGACCACGUGGCCGACGUGAAAGAGUCCGGAGCAGUCGUGGUGAACGCGAUGCUGCCUGCAACGUCAUCCAGAGAGCCCCGGGACACCGUCCGCCGUCUCAUCAGGAGCACGCCCAGGCGUUGUCGGGGCUGCAUACAGGCAACGUUUGGGCCGCACACACUAACGAGAGAUGUGCAGAACAAGAAAAAAAUGAAGCUAGGUGUUGCUGGCUUUUUCAGAAGGGUGUGGAAGAUCUUCACCUGCUCCUCUGGUAUCUCCUCAAAAGACAACUGAGAAAGAAGAUUAUGAUCUCAACCUCAACUGCACACCCAAUUUCUCACACACACACACACACACACACACAAUCAUAAAUAUCUACACACGUACACACACAGUCUACAACAAUCACAAGAAAAUUAGAUUCUUCUGCAUUCUAGUGCAUUGUGUACUUGUGAAUUUCUACUGACAUUAUACAGAAAUGUAGGGAAAGAUAUGAACUACUGUUCUAAAGUGCUUACAAUAAAAGACAAACUAAUAAUAGUUUAAGUAAAAGCAUUAAAGUUUUUCUUGCAGAAAACCACAGGUGGCACAAAAGUGGUGUCACAAAACUUGGGACAUAUUGGAGCCUUUCUAGGGGACCAGUCAGAAUUUUUCAUGAACUUGAGAGGUAAACCUGUGUCCUACUUGUAUGCUUUGUUGACAAAAAAAAUAAUUGUAAACAUACAAAACGGUGUUUAUACAAUUAUAUUCCCAUUCCAUACAUCAGAUUCUAUUGAAUCACGUCCCUGUGUAUGACACUCUUCC